rnacentral:tRNA from 1 species
GAAAUAUGAGGUUCAAAAAAAAGCUUCUAACUUUUUAUUUUAACGAUUAAACUUCGUUUAUAUUUCU